rnacentral:rRNA from 1 species
GAACUCUGAGACAGGUGCUGCAUGGCUGUCGUCAGCUCGUGUUGUGAAAUGUUGGGUUAAGUCCCGCAACGAGCGCAACCCUUAUCCUUUGUUGCCAGCGAUUCGGUCGGGAACUCAAARGAGACUGCCGGUGAUAAACCGGAGGAAGGUGGGGAUGACGUCAAGUCAUCAUGGCCCUUACGAGUAGGGCUACACACGUGCUACAAUGGCGUAUACAAAGAGAAGCGACCUCGCGAGAGCAAGCGGAACUCAUAAAGUACGUCGUAGUCCGGAUUGGAGUCUGCAACUCGACUCCAUGAAGUCGGAAUCGCUAGUAAUCGUAGAUCAGAAUGCUACGGUGAAUACGUUCCCGGGCCUUGUACACACCGCCCGUCACACCAUGGGAGUGGGUUGCAAAAGAAGUAGGUAGCUUAACCUUCGGGAGGGCGCUUACCACUUUGUGAUUCAUGACUGGGGUGAAGUCGUAACAAGGUAACCGUAGGGGAACCUGCGGUUGGAUCACCUCCUUA